rnacentral:rRNA from 1 species
UACGAAGGGUGCAAGCGUUGUUCGGAAUUAUUGGGCGUAAAGCGCACGUAGGCGGCCUUGUAAGUCUCACUGUGAAAGCCCGAGGCUCAACCUCGGAACUGCCUUCGAUACUGCGGGUCUCGAGUCCGGGAGAGGUGAGUGGAAUUCCUAGUGUAGAGGUGAAAUUCGUAGAUAUUAGGAAGAACACCAGUGGCGAAGGCGGCUCACUGGCCCGGUACUGACGCUGAGGCGCGAAAGCGUGGGGAGCAAGCAGG